rnacentral:lncRNA from 12 species
CACAAAUUAACAAACAAAGACAGUGCAAUGGAGCAAAAAUCCCAACCUGGGCACACCCUCUCAUCAGGGAAGGUAAAUAAACAGCUUUUCUCUAUUUUCAGCUCUCAUUCUUCACAUUCAAACUCCACCCAUUGUACCAGUCACCCCCAAAAGAAUCAGCAGGUUUCCUGGCAGAUGUAUAAAACCAGAACAAGUCAGGACACUAUCACAUAGUGUGCUAUACAUCACCAGGUGGUCAACUUUAUCAAAGGAGAGGACUUCUAACAAGUGUCAGAAGCCACAAUGUCGGGUAAGAGCUUCCAGGGACUGAAGGAACAAGCUGAAGGUGCAGCAAAAGAUGCUGCAAACACAUUGGGACAGGCCACCCAGGAUGCAGUCAACCAGAUUACAGAUGCAAGCCAGAAAGCUUUUGACAAGGCUUCCAAGACUGCACAAGAUGGAGUAGAAAAAGUGGCCGGUCAGGCUGCAGAAGCCAUGUCUGGCUUUGGGAAAAAAUGUGGAUUUAAAAAAUGAUGCUAAUUCAAGUCUGCUUGUAUAAAUCUCUCUCUCUUUGGUCUGCUAUUACCUACUUCUUUGUGUAGAAAAAUGAAAGCUGUUUGAUAUCUGGAUAAUUUUGUUCUCUUCAAAUACAAAUUUUUAAGGCAGAAGGUCCCCCUCAUCCUUUACAUAGAAAAAUAUAAUCUUUUAGCACGUCUGCUCACAAUUGUCAAAAGGGCUCAAAAGGUUUUGGCAAUGCUACUGCCCUCCUCUUGCAACAGCUCAGUGAUUAUUGCCACAUUUGCUGAGUGUAUUUACAAAGCCAGUGAAACUGUUCAUAAUUAGGACACCAGAACAGUCAUGUGAUGAAACUGAGUCUUCUUCCAAUAAUCAAAAAUUAGCUGGGGUUGUAUUUCUUGUCAGUUGUUUGUUUGUUCCCAUCCUCUGUAUUUUUAGAUUAAGAUAAAUAAAUGUACUGUAAGAUUUCCA